rnacentral:rRNA from 1 species
CCUACGGGUGGCAGCAGUGAGGAAUAUUGCACAAUGGGCGAAAGCCUGAUGCAGCAACGCCGCGUGAGGGACGAAGGCCUUCGGGUUGUAAACCUCUUUUCUGAGAGACGAGACAAGGACGGUACCUCAGGAAUAAGUCUCGGCUAACUACGUGCCAGCAGCCGCGGUAAGACGUAGGAGGCGAGCGUUAUCCGGAUUUACUGGGCGUAAAGCGCACGCAGGCGGCUUCGUUAGUCGGAUGUGAAAGCUCCUGGCUUAACUGGGAGAGGCCAUUCGAUAC